AAAAUAAUCUCAUUUCAGUGACUUAUUUGUUAUUAGUUGUUUCUUUUUCUCUCACUUUUUUCAUUUAUCUUACUAAAUUAUUGUCAUUUCAUUAAAUAAUAUAUUUUCUUUUUUUUUACCAAUGGGUGUGGAGCAUUUUUUUUAUAUUUUAUUUUGGUGAAAAAAAAAAUCAAUUGAAGAGUAGUCUUUUUUUUCUGAAUCCUACAUCUUACAACUGUUUUAGCCGCCAAAUAACAAAAACAAAUGACACAAUAUUAAUGAGAAUGUGUAAAAUGAGCUAAUAAGAUAAAUAACCAUUGCAUUUUUAUAUUAUUCAUUUUUCUAUAAUAAUUAUCUCCAUUAUACUAUGAAUUGUUUCAUUUCUUUUUUCUUUAAUUUAUUUUAGUUCAAAAUAUCACCAAGUUAUUUUUUUUUAUUUCAAAAAACCCCACCAUCUGUCUUCAUUUCCUUUUAUUUAUUUUUUUUUUAUAUAUAUUCAUUAUUCACGACUUGUAUUGCUUUUUAAUCUAAUUCUUUUUCUUUCUGAAAUGUGUUUGGUAUUACAUUCUCACCUAAAAUUCCAUAUUCUUCUGUUUAAUAUCUAGUUUGACUUUUUUCUUUACUGUUUAUAGAAAUAUUUCAAUAUACUCGUAGUUUUAUUUUUUUAUGUAUAUAUAUAUUUCAUGGUAAAUAUGAAUUUUGCAACUAUGCUCGAGAUAUCUCCACAUAAUUCAAUUGGAAAUAAAGGUAAUAAUUCAGAGUUUCUUAAAUAUUAGUCUAAUAGUAUUUUGCUUCAUCUUUAAGUUGCAUUUAAAUAAUUGUUUUUUUUUUGCUUUCAUGAUAUUUUUAAAUACUAGAUUUUUUUUCCUAUUUUCUUAAUUGAUUUUUUCUUAAAUACCCUAUUUAAUAGAAAUACAGUAAAAUAAAUAUUUUAGUCUGGAAUACAAAUGUGUAUUCUGAGUAAAAUUUGUUGUAUAUUUUUUUUCUUUUUUUUUCUUUGUUACUCAAUUAAUUUAGACGGGGCAAAUAUUUGAAGAAUACAUUUUUAUUUAUGCGUUGGUUCUUAGGUAGAAUAUCACCUCUAAAAUUUGUUGUUUCGAUAAUGCAAAAAACUUAUUUGAACGACUAACUCCUUGCCUUGUGGGACUUUUUAUUAAAAAAAAAAUAGAGGAAGGUAUUGUAGUUUCGGAUGACAGAAGUAAUAUACAACAUGCCUUUUACUCCAAUAGCUAAAUUGUUGUGGUCAAUGCUAGGCUUUAUUUUUCAAAGGUGUCUCGGCUAAAAGGCAAAUAGUUUGCGUCCCGGUUAAAACACGGAAACCAAAAUCCCGAAUUAUGUCUUGGAUAAAAGGUAAAUGGAACUCUAUUUGCACAAGUCGUUGAAGUUCGAAAAAUUCAAAUUCAAUUUCGAAUUUUCAUACUAAAUUUUCAAACAAGGUGGGGAAAAUUUAUCAAAUAUUACACUAAAAACUGGCACAAGAGUUACUCAGUGAUUAUGGAGUGAUUAAAUACUGGGACAAGAACAGUAAACGUCGUUGUACUGUUUUUUUUUCCUCACAACAAUGUCAAGACCGUCACAUUUUGACACUUGACUUCGAAAUUCGAAUAGGAUGUACUUCAGCUAGAUUUUCGAAUGGUUUUUCCCUUUGCAAAUUUCUACUUCUGUACGGAAAGAAUAUAAUCCCAGGAAUGGUUCUGUUCAGUAAUAACCUUUCGAGGCAAAGCCACUCCAAAGCCAAUCCAAACCUAUUCAUAAAUCUACCGGAAGCUUAAAGUGAAAGUUCACGUACUCGCCGAUUUAGCGCUGAUUGUUCCGCUAUUUCGAUUUUCGAUAUUCUUGGCAGUUCAGUCGUCAAAAAAAGUGAGUAAACGUUUGUUGCAAAAAGUAAAUUUUUAUGUAGUUUUGUGGAAUUUCAGGAUGACAGAAUGUUUGAAUUCCGAUUUUAUUAUGACAAAUGUCCUUUUCAUGAACUCACUUACUUUUGUUCGUCGGUUUAAACUUUCGAACUUCCGAGGGGUUUUUACGUAAGUUCUCUCUGAUCUCUCUGAUAUACCUUCGAAUUGGUACAGUAGAAACCUCAACCAGAGUUGAGAGUUUUCAAAUCGGAAAUUAUUAUUACUACUCUGAAAAAAAAUGUUUUGUCAAAUUAACAAGACAAGUUUGUAAAAAGGAUGUUCUUUCAUACAGAAUAUGGAAAAGUUUUGUCAAAUCGGCGGCCAACUGGAUCUUGAUAAGUUUGUCAAAAGGGUGUUUUUCCAUAUAAAAUACAGGAAAAAGUUUUGUCAAAUUGGUAAAUAACAACCUUUUGACAAAAUUUCAACAAAAUCCAUUUGUUAGUUUAACAAAACAUUUUUUUUAAGAGUAAACGUAAGAAUUCUUUCAAAUAAAUAGAACUUUAUUUGCGCAAAAUAUUGUUUAUGCUCGAAGAAUUUAAAUUCAAUUUCGAAU